rnacentral:tmRNA from 1 species
GGAUCGACGGACGUGUAAAGACGAUGCCUUUGCCGGAUUGGGCCCCCUCAGAAGCCCAUAUCACAUAGUUGCAAAUGACAACUUUGCUGAAGGUGAACUCCUGGCUGCGUAAGCGGUCCGGUAUUUACCGACUUAACUCCUAGGGUUUCAGACCCCUAGGCGGGGCCCGGAGGCGCCUGGCAACAGAAGCCUCCACU